rnacentral:Y_RNA from 1 species
AGCAUGUCUGAAGGUAGUGAAUUAUCUCAAUUGAAUGUUCACAGUCAGCUACAGGUUGAACUCUUUGUUAUAUUCUCUCCCCUCUUCUUACUACUGCCCUUGACUUGUUUUAA